rnacentral:rRNA from 1 species
AGUGAACGCUGGCGGUAGGCCUAACACAUGCAAGUCGAACGGCAGCACAGAGGAGCUUGCUCCUUGGGUGGCGAGUGGCGGACGGGUGAGGAAUACAUCGGAAUCUACUCUGUCGUGGGGGAUAACGUAGGGAAACUUACGCUAAUACCGCAUAUGACCUACGGGUGAAAGCAGGGGAUCUUCGGAACUUGCGCGAUUGAAUGAGCCGAUGUCGGAUUAGCUAGUUGGCGGGGUAAAGGCCCACCAGGGCGACGAUCCGUAGCUGGUCUGAGAGGAUGAUCAGCCACACUGGAACUGAGACACGGUCCAGCCCCCUACGGGAGGCAGCAGUGGGGAAUAUUGGACAAUGGGCGCAAGCCUGAUCCAGCCAUACCGCGUGGGUGAAGAAGGCCUUCGGGUUGUAAAGCCCUUUGUUGGGAAAGAAAUCCAUCUGGUUAAUACCCGGGUGGGAUGACGGUACCCAAAGAAUAAGCACCGGCUAACUUCGUGCCAGCCGCCGCCGUAA